rnacentral:rRNA from 1 species
AUUGAACGCUGGCGGCAGGCCUAACACAUGCAAGUCGAACGAGAGGCGGACGGGUGAGUAAUGACUGGGAAACUGCCUGAUGGAGGGGGAUAACUAACGGAAACGGUAGCUAAUACCGCAUAACAUCAGCUAUGCCCAGAUGGGAUUAGCUUGUUGGUGGGGUAACGGAUCACCAAGGCGAAGAUCCCUAGCUGGUCUGAGAGGAUGACCAGCCACACUGGAACUGAGACACGGUCCAGACUCCUACGGGAGGCAGCAGUGGGGAAUAUUGCACAAUGGGCGAAAGCCUGAUGCAGCCAUGCCGCGUGUAUUAAGAAGGCCUUCGGGUUGUAAAGUACUUUCAGCGGGGAGGCGUUACCCGCAGAAGAAGCACCGGCUAACUCCGUGCCAGCCGCCGCGGUAAUAC